AUGCUACAUGCAAUUGAGAGCAAUGCCCCAGAUAUCUCUAGUGUAGACCUUGGACUUGGCGACCAAGUGGAUUUCUCACUCUCACUGGGAGAUGGUUCAUCUCAAGUGAAGCAGCUCCGAAUAUCACCUGCAUCCCCAAGUUAUGCUCUCGGCAAGCUUCCAUCAAUUACACUCGCUCUUGAAGCCCUUAACAUAUCGUUGUUGCCACACGAGCAGGUGAGCACACCAAUGGUGCCUGGAAAAUUCCACCACCUCAAGUACUUGAAUAUUUCUCUUCCGCUGUCUCGGCAGCAGAUGAAUAUGAUUAUUUGUCUCUGUUAG
rnacentral:rRNA from 1 species